UCCGCCCUCGGUCCCGCAUUGCGCCAACAGCGCGGCGCGGGCUAGCGACCCUGGCCCUAGCGAGUUCCUCGCGGGUUUGUGUCACGGGCACCGUCUCGGGUCCGCAGUCGUCGCGCGGUCCCCUGGAGCCUGGAUCGAGAGACAGCAGCGUAGAGGCACACCAAGAAUCCCUGGUCGAAGUUUGGUUGACGCACGUGAGGGUAAAUAAGGUGUCCAGACAAAGAGACUUAAAGCAACAGCAGCCUGGCUUCGGAGGCAGCGUUCGCAGAAGUUACUCGGCUCUCAGAACCUGGCAUGCAGCUGACUAGGACACGGAUGGCCCAGGCGGGAACAGCGGCCACCCUGGACUGAAGAGGCUCGGCACGUGGGAGCCUUAAGGGCCCGGGCGAUGGCGGGGGCGGGGAUCUGGACAAGAAAGCCGCCUGAGCGGGGUCCUGGGCAUACUGUCCUGACCUAACAGGUUGGCUUUACCUCAUAUUCUCCAACCAAAACAACAUAUUGUAGUAGAUUGAAUUCAAAAGCAGGUAGGAAAAGCCGAAUGUCUAUUACACCAGCCCUUCGAGGGUUUUGCAGAAAGAAGAAAGUGACACUUAACAAAAGUUUGUUUGGAACAUAUUUUUCAUUGAAAACUUUUAGGUUAACAUGUGCUGAGUGUACACUCAUUUAAAAUGAGCUAAUUAUUUACUAUAUUUAUUUAUAGUGCUAGGCAUGCAAUCCAGGCAUUUUGCACUAAGCUACAUCCCCAGACCUUUUUAUUUUGAGACAGUCACACUAAAUCUCUUAAGUUGAACAGGUUGGACUCAAAAUCCUCCUGCCUCAGCUUCCCAGAGUGCUGGGAUUAUAAGGGUUUGCCACCAUGCCUGGCAAAUUGUUAACUAUUCCAAUUUUUUUAAAGUUAAUAAGGUAGACAUCAGUAGCCGGGGUAUGUACACCUUACAUAAACACAGCUUUUUAAGGUUCUCGAUACUAUUUAAGAAUGUCAUGGGUCCUGAGAUAAAAAGGUUUAAAAAUUAUUAAGAGGAAAGAAUAGCAAGGCUAUUGUAAGUAAUUCAAAUCGGACAAGUCUGGGGCUUAUUAAUAAUUUUAUUGUCACCUCAGAGUUAAGAGACUAAGCAGGGCAUGGUGGUGCACAUGGUAGUGGUAAUCUCAGCCCUGGAGAGGCUAAGGUAGGAUCACUGCAAGUAUGAGGCCAGCUUGGACCACAUAGUUUGAGGUCACCCUGAAUGAACAGCAAGACUCUGUCUCAAAAAAUAAGUUAAAAUAAAUAAAUAGGGCUGGGAACUGUAGCUUACUUAGUAGGAAGGCCAUAGUUCAAUCCCCAGUUUAAAAAAAAAAAAGUUUAUCAAACAGAAAUAAGAAACAAGAGCACACUUUAAAAAUACAACUGAUUAACAGUCAUACUUGUGUUUAAAAACACUCAGGGACAGGUACAACUCAGGCUGAAGGGCUGAGGAGAAAUAAAGGAUUUACUUUACACAUAAAGCUAUCACAUUUCUACUUUUUGUGUAGUCCAGCCCUUUAGGAUGAAUGUCAUACCUAUGGAUAAAAAUGUAUUUCCAGCUGGGGAUUUAGCUCAGUGACACAGCACCUGCCUGGCAAGUGUGAGGUCCUGAGUUCAGUUCCCAGUAACCAAAAAUAAAUAAAGUAAAAACAUAUUUCCUGUUGGGCAUGGUGGUACAUACCUGUAAUCCCGGCAUUCUGGAGGAUGAGGCAGGAGGGUACUGAGUUUCAGGCCAGCCUGGACUACACAGUGAGUUCAAUGUCAGCGUGAACUACAUAGUGAGACCUUGCCUCAAAAAAAAAAACCCAAAACAUUAUUUUUCUUUUUUUUUUUUUUUAUUUUUCUUUUUUUUAUCGGUACCGGGGCAUCGAACUCACGACUGCCUGCUUGCAAGGCAGGUGCUUAUGCCGCUGAGCUAAAUCUCUAGCCCUUUUUUUUUUAAAAACUUUUUUUUUAACAUUAUUUUUCAUAACCCAGCAAUGGUCAUGCAGCUGUGCCACUGGUUACAGAAAACACACUGGUGCAACAAACAGUUCCUCGAGGCUCUGUACACCGCUGUCACAAAAGUCUUUGUGUUGCAGAUUACAGCCUAGUUCCAGGAAGCCUUACGUCUGCAACCUCUUAAACAUGCUCACCAUACUCCAGUGUCCUCAGUGCCGUGAAGACAAGCAGGGACAAGGCACCCUUGCCUACAGUGCUCUUCCUAGCCAUUCUCUGAACUGCUCAACAACUCAAAUCGGGAAAGCGGACACCAGUAUCCCACUGUGGAGAUGGGACCCAGAGACCUGGGCCUAACUUCCUUCAUCUGGUACCUGAGGGCCAGUGCUCUGGCUAGCACCCAGCCAUCUGUCAAAGGCCGCGGUCACAGAAGGCCACUUGUCACCUCCACAUCUCCAGCCUUGCCUUCCCUGUACAGAUUUCCAAUACUCAAUUUUGGCUUCAGGACGACUUAGGCUCCAUACCGUGAGAUCCCUAAACGCUUUUCCAAAGCUUCCACAGGAAAUUCAGAAUUUAUUAUUAACCUUAAAAACACCUAUGCUAUGGGACCAGAAGGUAUGUGUUGGAACUGAAACAUAAAUUGCAGAAUUACA